AACGAACGCUGGCGGCAUGCCUAACACAUGCAAGUCGAACGAUGCCUUCGGGCAUAGUGGCGCACGGGUGCGUAACGCGUGGGAAUCUGCCCUUGGCUUCGGAAUAACAGUUAGAAAUGACUGCUAAUACCGGAUGAUGUCCCCCUGAGAGAUCUUGGGGACCAAAGAUUUAUCGGCCAGGGAUGAGCCCGCGUAGGAUUAGGUAGUUGGUGGGGUAAAGGCCUACCAAGCCGACGAUCCUUAGCUGGUCUGAGAGGAUGAUCAGCCACACUGGGCAGGAGACCGGGCCCAGACCCCAGGGGGAGGGGGGAGUGGGGAAAAUAGGACAGGGGGGGGAACCCAGACCCAGCAAGGCCGGGAGGGGGAUGAAGGCCUUGGGGUGGUAAAGCUCUUUUACCAGGGAGGUAAAGAAGGGAACCGGGAAAAAAGGCCCGGGCAAACCCGGG
rnacentral:rRNA from 1 species